GACGAACGCUGGCGGCGUGCUUAACACAUGCAAGUCGAACGGAAAGGCCCUGCUUUUGUGGGGUGCUCGAGUGGCGAACGGGUGAGUAACACGUGAGUAACCUGCCCUUGACUUUGGGAUAACUUCAGGAAACUGGGGCUAAUACCGGAUAGGAGCUCCUGCUGCAUGGUGGGGGUUGGAAAGUUUCGGCGGUUGGGGAUUGACUCGCGGCUUAUCAGCUUGUUGGUGGGGUAGUGGCUUACCAAGGCUUUGACGGGUAGCCGGCCUGAGAGGGUGACCGGCAACAUUGGGAAGAAGCGAAGGGAGAGAGGGCGCAGGGAGGCAGGAGUGGGGAAGAGUGCGGAAGGGGAGGGCGCUGGAUGCAGCAACGGCGCGUGAGGGAGGACGGAAGGGGGGUGGGAAAAAGAUGGGGCCGGUGACGAAGCGGGAGGGACGGUAAUGGGUAAAGAAGAAACGGCUAAGUAGGUG
rnacentral:rRNA from 1 species